GACGAACGCUGGCGGCGUGCUUAACACAUGCAAGUCGAACGGUGAUGCUCCAGCUUGCUGGAGUGGAUCAGUGGCGAACGGGUGAGUAACACGUGAGCAACCUGCCCCAGACUCUGGAAUAAGCGCUGGAAACGGCGUCUAAUACUGGAUACGAAACUGGCCCUCAUGGGCAUGGUUUGGAAAGUUUUUCGGUUUGGGAUGGGCUCGCGGCCUAUCAGCUUGUUGGUGAGGUAAUGGCUCACCAAGGCGACGACGGGUAGCCGGCCUGAGAGGGCGACCGGCCACACUGGGACGGAGACACGGCCCAGACUCCUACGGGAGGCAGCAGUGGGGAAUAUUGCACAAUGGGCGAAAGCCUGAUGCAGCGACGCCGCGUGAGGGAUGACGGCCUUCGGGUUGUAAACCUCUUUCAGCAGGGAAGAAGCGAAAGUGACGGUACCUGCAGAAGAAGCACCGGCUAACUACGU
rnacentral:rRNA from 1 species